UAAGGAAUAUUGCUCAAUGGGAGAAAUCCUGAAGCAGCAACGCCGCGUGGAGGAUGAAGGGUCUAUGACUUGUAAACUCCUGUAAAGAAGGAAAAAAUUCCCAUUAGAUGGGAGAUGAUGGUACUUCUGGAGUAAGCCCCGGCUAACUACGUGCCAGCAGCCGCGGUAAUACGUAGGGGGCAAGCGUUGUCCGGAUUUACUGGGUGUACAGGGUGCUCAGGCGGAUUUGUAAGUCAGAGGUGAAAUCUUACAGCUUAACUGUGAAACUGCCUUUGAUACUGCAAGCCUAGAGUAUGGAAGAGAGUGAUGGAAUAUCUGGUGUAGCAGUGAAAUGCGUAGAUAUCAGAUAGAACACCAAUGGCGAAGGCAGUCACUUGGUCCAUUACUGACGCUAAAGCACGAAAGCGUGGGUAGCAAACA
rnacentral:rRNA from 1 species